GAUGAACGCUGGCGGCGUGCCUAAUACAUGCAAGUAGAACGCUGAAGGAAGGAGCUUGCUCUUUCCGGAUGAGUUGCGAACGGGUGAGUAACGCGUAGGUAACCUGCCUGGUAGCGGGGGAUAACUAUUGGAAACGAUAGCUAAUACCGCAUAACAGUAGAUGUUGCAUGAUAUCUACUUAAAAGGUGCAAUUGCACCACUACCAGAUGGACCUGCGUUGUAUUAGCUAGUUGGUGAGGUAACGGCUCACCAAGGCGACGAUACAUAGCCGACCUGAGAGGGUGAUCGGCCAAACUGGGACUGAGACACGGCCCAGACUCCUACGGGAGGCAGCAGUAGGGAAUCUUCGGCAAUGGACGGAAGUCUGACCGAGCAACGCCGCGUGAGUGAAGAAGGUUGUCGGAUCGUAAAGCUCUGUUGUAAGAGAAGAACGAGUGUGAGAGUGGAAAGUUCACACUGUGACGGUAUCUUACCAGAAAGGGACGGCUAACUACGUG
rnacentral:rRNA from 1 species